AACGCGAAGAACCUUACCUGGGCUUGAAGUUAGUGACCGGCUCUGAAGGAGCCUUUCCGAAGGACACGAACUAGGUGCUGCAUGGCUGUCGUCAGCUCGUGCCGUGAGGUGUUGGGUUAAGUCCUGUAACGAGCGCAACCCCUACCAUUAGUUGCCAGCGGGUAAUGCCGGGGACGUCUAAUGGAACUGCCUGCGUAAGCAGCGAGGAAGGUGGGGAUGACGUCAAGUCAUCACGGCCCUUACGUCCAGGGCUACACACGUGCUACAAUGGUCGACACAAUGGGUUGCUACCUGGUAACAGGAUGCUAAUCUCUAAAGUCGGCCUCAGUUCGGAUAGAGGUCUGCAAUUCGACCUCUUGAAGUUGGAUUCGCUAGUAAUCGCGCAUCAGCAAUGGCGCGGUGAAUACGUUCCCGGGCCUUGUACACACCGAGUAUA
rnacentral:rRNA from 1 species